GUUUGUUUGGAGUUAUAAAGAAUUUGACCUGCCCCCUGAUUAACUAUUAAAGGGCCGCAGUAUUAUAACUGUGCAAAGGUAGCAUAAUCAUUAGGUUUUUAAUUGAAAUCUCGUAUGAAUGGUUGGACAAAAGAAAGACUCUCUUUAUAUUAAGUUUUGAAUUUAACUUUUAAGUGAAAAGGCUUAAAUAUUCUAAAGGGACGAUAAGACCCUAUAAAACUUUACAUUGUUAUUAGUUUUGAUUGAAUUUAUGAAAUAAGAAUUUUAUUUGAUUAUUUGUUAUGUUGGGGAGACACAAGUAAAAUAUUUUUUUAACUGCUUGACAAUUAUACAAUUAUUAGUGAGUAAGCAGAGGAUCCUUUUUAAGAUUAGUAGAUUAAGUUACUUUAGGGAUAACAGUGUAAUUUCUUUUGAGAGUUCUUAUCGAAAAAGAAGGUUGCAACCUCGAUGUUGAAUUAAAAUAUCUAUAUAAUGGAGAGGUUAUAUAAGAAGGUCUGUUCGACCUUGAAAUUUUUACAUGAUUUGAGUUCAAACCGGUGUGAG
rnacentral:rRNA from 1 species